rnacentral:rRNA from 1 species
UGAAGUUGGAUUCGCUAGUAAUCGCGCAUCAGCCAUGGCGCGGUGAAUACGUUCCCGGGCCUUGUACACACCGCCCGUCAAGCCAUGGGAGCCGGGGGUGCCUGAAGUUCGUGACCGCAAGGAGCGACCUAGGGCAAAACUGGUGACUGGGGCUAAGUCGUAACAAGGUACC